UACGAAGGGGGCUAGCGUUGCUCGGAAUGACUGGGCGUAAAGGGCGCGUAGGCGGUUUGGUUAGUUAGGCGUGAAAUUCCUGGGCUCAACCUGGGGACUGCGCUUAAUACAGCCAGGCUAAAGUGUGGAAAAAGGUCGUGGAAUUUCCAGUGUAGAGGUGAAAUUCGUAGAUAUUGGGAAGAACACCGGUGGCGAAGGCGGCGACCUGGUCCAUUACUGACGCUGAGGCGCGAAAGCGUGGGGAGCAAACAGG
rnacentral:rRNA from 1 species